rnacentral:rRNA from 1 species
CGGGGUGCAGCAGGCGCGAAAACUCCACAAUGUACGGAAGUACGAUGGGGUUAUCUCGAGUGCAGUCCGAUAAGGGCUGCUUUUCCAUAGAGUAAUAUCCUGUGGGAAUAAGAGGGGGGCAAGACUGGUGUCAGCCGCCGCGGUAACACCAGCCCCUCGAGUGGUGGGGACUAUUAUUUGGCCUAAAGCGUCCGUAGCUGGCUGUAUCCGUCCCCCGUUAAAUCCAGCGUCCUAAGCGUUGGACCGCGGGUGAUACCAUACAGCUAGAGGGUGGGAUAGGUGAGCGGUAUUUCUGGGGUAGGGGCGAAAUCCUUUGAUCCCAGGAGGACCACCAGUGGCGAAGGCUGCUCACUAGAACACGCCUGACGGUCAGGGACGAAAGCUGGGGCAGCGAACCGGAUUAGAUACCCGGGUAGUCCCAGCUGUAAACGAUGCUAGCUAGGUGUUGGGUCGGCCACGCGCCGCCCCAGUGCCGCAGGGAAGCCGUUAAGCUAGCCGCCUGGGGAGUACGGCCGCAAGGCUGAAACUUAAAGGAAUUGGCGGGGGAGCAC